AUGGGUGGAAGCAACUAUGAUGACGACUGGGUGUUGCCCAGUGCUGACAUCACUCUUGUUCUUGUUGGAAAACUUGGCUAUGGCAAGAGUGCAACUGGCAAUAGUAUCCUUGGACGGGAAGCAUUUGUAUCAGAAUACUCUCAUGCCAGUGUGACAAACACUUGUCAGAUGGGAAGCACCAUGCUGACGGAUGGCCGCACCAUCAAUGUUAUUGAUACACCAGGAUUAUUUGACAUGACCGUAACUCCUGAGGAUGCUGGCAAAGAAAUUGUUAAGUGCAUGAACAUGGCUAAAGAUGGGAUACAUGCUGUGUUGAUGGUUUUUUCUGCUACGUCUCGAUUUUCUCGAGAAGAUUCUAGUACAAUUGAGACUAUCAAAGUGUUUUUUGGAGAGAAAAUCGUUGAUCACUUGGUCUUAGUUUUCACUUAUGGAGAUUUAGUUGGUGAAAAUUUAUUGAAGAACAUGUUAAGUAAUGCCCCAGACUAUCUGCAGAAAGUUGUUCAGCUAUGCAAAAAUAGAGUGGUUCUUUUUGAUAACAAGACCAAGGACCCUAGGAUUCGAACUAAGCAGCUCGAAACGUUGCUUGAUGUGGUUGAUUCUGUUAGUGCAAAUAAUGGAGGAAACCCAUUUACAGAUCAAAUGCUCACUCGCCUUAAGGAGGUGCAUGAUAGAGAGAAGGAGGUUCAUGAUGCUCUCGGAUAUUCAGAGGACCAAAUAUCUGAAUUGAAGAAGGAGAUCCACAGAACUCGGGAUGAACAGCUUGCAAACAUUACUGCCAUGGUGGAGGAAAAGCUGAAUAUCACGGUGGAGAAGCUGCAAGUUCAACUCAUGGAAGAACAGAAUGCAAGGCUGGAAGCAGAGAGGGUGGCGGCGGAGGCCAGGCUGAAAUCCGACGAGGAGAUCCGCAAGCUCAAGGAGAGGCUCGAGAAGGCUCAGGAGGAAAACGAGGAGUUCCGGAGGCUGGCGGCGAACAAGUGCGCCAUUCUGUAA
rnacentral:rRNA from 1 species